GAAUAAAUGAGGGCGCCAUGUCUCAGCUGUCGGCCGAAGACGAGGCAGAGCUGGAGACGCUGCUGCGGCGCUUGCUGAGGAGCGUCAAGGAGCGCAUCCGGGGGGCGCCGUCCGUGGAGUGCGCCGAGGAGCUGCUGCUGCACCUGGAGGAGACGGACCAGAACUUCCACAAUUAUGAGCUGGUCAAGUACCUGCGGCGGUAUAUCGAGGGCGCCCUGGGGAGGGUCAUCGAGGAAGAAAUGGAGGGAUGCGCACGGAUGGAGGGACAGGCGAUCGCAUGUGGUCAGGACACGCAGGUGCAUGACGUCACGAGGAGGGCUCGGGAAUCGGCCGAAUAUAAACACAUGAUGCAGACACUGAAGAACACUAUGAUGGUGGUGGUGGAGUCACUAAUCAAUAAGUUUGAGGAGGAUCAGCUGAAGAAGGAAGAGAUGCACAGGAGGAGCCACCGUGAGCAGUUAGAUGGCCACUACAUGGACAACUGCUCUGAUAGUGACUCCUCAUUCAGUCAGAGCUACGGGUUCAUGAAGCAGGAGCAGCUGCAGGCCGUCGCUGGGAAACUGGACCAGGCCCAACCCAAAGAGGUGCGCCGGGAGGCCCUGCAAGCGCUCUGCGCCGCCCCCCCCUCCGACGUGCUGGCCUGUGAGAGCUGGAGCAGCCUGCGCAGGAGCCUCUCCGCAGCCUUGGCCGACCCGGACCCAGAGCUCAGCGAAAAAGUCCUGAGGUUCUUUGCGAAAACCUUUUCAUCUUCCCCAUUGAACAUAACCAGAGAGAUUUAUACUAGUCUGGCUAAAAGUCUGGAGUCUGACUUCCUGGUGCAGAAGCUGAGCCUCCCUUCAGGAUCGGCUGUGUUUGACAUUAAUAAGCCCGAAAUCUCACGUCUUCUCAAACAGAUGAGAUUACUCAACGAUUUCCAAAAGGAAGUGCCGGCUUUUUGGAUACGCCACCCAGAGAAGUACAUGGAGGAGAUUAUAGAGAGCACUCUGUCGCUCCUGGCCGUACAGUUUGAGUACAGUUCAGGCCCGCAGUGCACAGAGAAGUUUCUGGAACCUGGCCACUUGAUCGCCUUGCUGGACAUCAGAGCCACAUGGUUCAGAAAGUGGAUGCAUGGCUACUAUAGCAGGACCGUGGUGUUGAGGCUCCUGGAAAGGAAGUACAGGUCACUGAUCGGAGGAGCCGUCCAGCAGUGUGUCCAUUUCCACGAGUCCCGAUCGGCCAUCGGGGAUCAGGUGGCGGACAUGGCGCACGUGAUGGGACAGCAGCAGAUUGGUGCAGCCCAGAGGAUGCUGUACACGGGCCGGGAGCUGGGGUACGCCCACUUCGCCCACUCGCUCAGUGUCCUGGGGUGCCUGCUGAUGUACGCCCACGGGAGGAGACUCUUCCCCAUCAAGGUAAAGAAACGGAAAGAACCGCUGUCCCUGAUGGACUUGAUUGUGAUACUGAUCCGAACGAUGUACCUGGACCCCAAACCGCAGCUCGGUGCCCUUUCCCACGCAGACGCUCUGUCACCCAGCAGCCUGCUGAUGGAGCUGCUCCGGACCCUCGGCGACCGCACGGAUUGCGCUGACGAGUGCCUUCACUGCGGGGUCAUCGUAGAGACGCUGCUCUCUCCCGUGGUCGCCUCCUUGAGAGGGACGCAGGUUACUGUCGGCCCUCAGGAAGCCGCACUGGUGAACGUAGCCGACAUCUUGGCUCGCAUGGCCGCCACAGAACGUGGCCUGUCCCUCUUCCUGUACGACAGAGGUCUGGUCUCCGCUGAUGGCGAGAGCACGUCGGCCGCUGAUGUCAUCGUGCGGUUCACGCAGCGGCUGCUGGCGUGCGAGUGUGGGCCGGGGGUGGCGCACGUGGCCGGCGCCUUCGUCUUCACGUGCCGGCAGAUGUACAACACGUGCGAGGGGCUGCACGCGCUGCGGGACUACGGCCUGCACGACUGCAUCGCCCAGGCCUGGAGAAAGGCGAGCUCGCUGGCUGAGAGGAUUCCCACCCCAGUCCCCGGAGCCUCACCGGACCCGUCCUCGCAGGAAGCCCAGAGCAUCCUGGCCUGGGAGGAGACGCUGCUGGACAGCCUGCUGAACUUCGCCGCCACCCCUAAGGGCUUUCUGCUCCUCCAGCAGACCGGCGCCAUCCACGAAUGCGUCUCGUACAUGUUCACCAGGUUCACGAAGAAGCUGCAGGUCAGCAGAUGUGAGAAGUUUGGUUAUGGGGUGAUGGUCACUCAGGUAGCAGCGACUGCCCCCGGCGUAGCAGCCCUGCAGAGCUCAGGUUUUGUCCAGACCAUCGUCGUGGACCUUUGGUCGGCACUAGAAUGCGAACCCGAGGAUGUGAGGGUUGUCCAGCCCAGGCCCACGCCCAUGGACCCCAUCGACAGGAGCUGCCGGAAGUCAUUCCUGGCCUUGGUGAAUCUCCUGUAUUCCUCUUACGCCGUGUGGGAGCUUCUGGGGCAACAACAGCUGCCCAACAAAGCGGAAUACUCCCUCAGAGAAAUGCCUACCUCCAUCAUCGAUCUGAUCGAUAGGCUGAUCAUGAUUAAUUCAGACGCCAAAAUACAUUCGCUUUUCAACUAUGAGCAGUCGCACACCUUCGGUCUGAGGUUAUUGAGCAUGAUGAUCUGCAGCCUGGACUCCCUCCUGCUUCUGCAGUCACAAUAUAGAAUCUCUGAGAUGUUACUCCAAGGUCAGAAGGACAACACAGUGGCUCCAUCUACAGGCAGAGAAGAUUUUAUCAUAGACGGGCUCUCUGUCGAGAGGAACCAUGUCCUGGUGCGCAUGUUGGCGGUGGGCGGGCCGAGCGAACGCAGGCUGCCGUCGCGGGCCUUGCAGAAGGGCAGUGAUCCAUAUCCAUGGAAGAUGUUUUCCUCAUUCCCACUGCCCAAGUGUUACUUUCCAGAGGCUCCGAAGAUGCCUCACACCAAACAGGACUCGGAGAUGGGCGCCUUCCUCACCUCCACAAGGCCCGCCGACCGCGACUGGAUGGUCUGCUGCAGGGGGAUGUACUCGAAGAUCAUGACCAGCAAGUCCGCCUUCAUAACAGAGAACGUGCUGGCCGACCUUUUGGAGAAGACCGUACUGCACCUCUCUGCUUCUACAGCUGGCUGCUUCUUCCCGGUGGUGGAGUUCAAAGCACAACCAGACCCAACUGCUGAUCCUGUUCCUGCUGAUCCUGUUCCUGCUGAUCCUGUUCCAACACGUCCUACAGCAGCCAACAGCGCCACCUGCCAGUCCCUGUCCCCACUGGAGCAGCUGGGCGUUCAGAUAACCCUCAGGUACGGUGAGCACUUGAGGCUGCUGGAUGGAGACUCUGAAGCGGACUUGUGUCUCCUCGUGCAGAGGUGUCGGAUACUUCUGACCCAGCAGCGAGCCCAGGGCUCGUCACAGCUGUACUGUCUCCGUGAACGUUUCCCGGGCUACGACUGGUUCGUCUCCACCGUGUUCCUGCUGGUGCGGGGGGACGGGGAGCGGGCAUGGGACCUCCUGCAGAGACUCAGCGGCCUGCUGCCAUCUGCCUUCCUCUGGCCAUCCAGGCUGCACGGCUCGGUGCAUCUGCCCGCAGAGGUGGCACAAUCCGGCGUCCCCCCCACCUACUCCUGCACCGCCCACUACGUGGAGAUGCUCCUCAAGGUCGAGGUUCCUCUGGUCUCCUCUGCCUUCCGCAUGUCUGGCUUCACCCCCUCCCAGAUCUGCCUGCAGUGGCUGAGCCAGUGUUUCUGGAACUAUCUGGACUGGCCUGAGAUCUGCCAGUAUGUCUGCACGGCCGUCGUCAUGGGCGCCGACUACCAGGUGUACAUGUGCAUGGCAGUGCUAAGGCACCUGCAGCAGCCCAUCCUGCAGCAUGCGCAGACACAGGACCUGCAGGUCUUCCUCAAGGUGGUAACGAGAUAAGGAAGCGAGAGCAAUUGGCUCCUCGUACCAGCAUUUGAAUGGCUGCAAUCAGAGCCGUGAGAAAAGGCGAAUCUCGGAGGAAGUUCGGAGGAGGAGCCCAUCCAAGGCUUCAGAAUGAGUGAUCACCUGGAGUACAUGGAGAACCUGGAACGGAGGUACAGAGCAAUGGUGCUGACGGAUAUGAAGUCUGUCAUCCCCAAAGCCACCUAAGAAGAACCUUGUCACCGCUGAUCCGGAAGGGGUGUGUCGUACAGCGGAGCAGAAGGGGGGCUCUUUGGAAAGUGCUUUGGCUGUACAGCCGGCCCUGUUCCAUCAUUUGCUGCGUAUUAUUGUGCUCCGUGUUUUUAUGACUCUACAGCUGCAACAGAACCCAAGCCAGAGACAAUGGAACCCAAGCCAGAGACAAUGGAACCCAAGCCAGAGACAACUGAACACAUGGCCAGACAGCAUCAAGGCAAAUAUUGUUUGAAAACCACUUUCUUAAUUUCAUUAAGAGCCUACAAGCCAAUGCCUGGGAACACAGGACACAUGGCACAGAAACACACACACACACACACACACACGGUCAGAUACAGCCCCAUUUUCUUUUUAUUCCUACGUAAAAAGCACUUUCAGGCUGAAAUGAACUAAACUCAGAUGCACAUCAGAUUAUGGAAUUACAAAAACUAUAUUGUGAUAUUUUCACAGUGAUCCCCAUGGUAAGAUGCUUACUAAGCUAUGUGGCAGUUCUGCAGUUGGAGAGAUAACAGGACUUUUCCAUGGUGGAUUUAGCACCAGAAGGACUAAACUUAUCGUGUUUCUGCAGUCCUUGGCUACAGUUGGUCUUACUCAAGGAAGGGAGCUUCUGCAAACUCAGAAGUGCCUCAAUUCUGCACUGGUUUCUUCAAAAUUUUCAGCAAAGAUGGGACUUGUACCUAGUUUUUUUUUUUUUCCUUAAAAAAAAACAGGAGGAAAUAAGAGUUGUGAGAACUUCAGGAAAUGGUUCAUUUGACACAGCGAUCGAUGAUUGGCGCAGCUUCAGAUUUUCUUUGAGUCCUUAAGUGUUUAAACCCCAGUACAUCAGGUUUUGGCUUAUCUCAGAUAGAACCUUCUGAUAUUUUCCUCAUGAAAUUGACCAAUGCAGUUCCGCUCCACCAAGCCUUCCAUCUAUUCACCUUCCAUAUAAACGUAUCCUGUAAUUCCUGAUUCCUGUUUUGCCCUUAACUGACUUGCAAACAGAGCAAUAUUUCACCUACAAUAAAACCACAGCAUUAGGAAACUAAACUUGUUAAUGAAGUUGCUUUGUACAGUGAUUGCUGUUAAAGGGAACUUCCUUCCAAAUGUUUACCUGCGAUGUUCAUCAUCAAAAAAUUUGAGCUAUUAUUCUAAAAAUUGGAGGCCUGUAGAUAUUAAUUUCCGAGGUUCCUUUGUCAGUCGGUGUUUUCAGCUUGUUAAAAUGUUUAUGUAAUUCUUAUUUGGAGGGAAAAAAAUCAGUUUUUCUUUCUGUACUGGGUGCUACAAAAAGAGAUUAGUGUGGCGUAAGUGAUGGAAUAAUGCUCACAGGCCCUCGAUGGCCCUUAACGGCCUUGUUUAAAAUUAAAAACAAAAUGAGGUUUAUUA